AAAUGCACCCUAAACUCCUUCUCCUUUCUACCUCUCCUCUUAGUGAGGCUGUCUGUGUAUAUGUUCAUCACUGCGUUGCCUUCUAUCAGACUUUUCUGCUACAUUAGACCGCUCUUUCCUUAUUUCUGCCUUUCUAUCCUUGCACCCCCCAAAAGCUGACGCUCCCUAACCUUCGGCCUCGUGCUAUGAAAGUCACCGGGCCAGGCUCGGCUGCAUCUGAAGGUAUUUCAAAGUGAGAUAUCAUACGCCCACCAGAAACAACUGAAGGUGUGACCUCAAUAAAUGGGACGAGCUAAAUGUUGCAUGAAUGCAGUAAUAUUGUUAUCCUGUAGGAGGCAUAGUGUGCUAUGAACAGCUUGUGGACAAAUCUGGUGCUUGCUGGCUGUAACAGCAACUCCAUGUGGAAGUUGUCUGUGUUCCAGUGGAGAUGCUGUUACCUGCAGAGAGCCACCCCCUAGCCAGCUCUGACAUGGAAUCCAUUUUUAGAAUAUCACAGUCCUUAUUUAUUACGGCUGUUCUGAUGUUUCUCCUCUUUCGGUUGAACUCAGUUAUAUCUGCUUUCACCACAUUGUCAUGUAAUUUUUGUUUUGUAUUAUUAAGAACAGUCUCUAGAUCAUUCAAGAGAUAUGGGCUCCUUGUUUUCAAUGACAACAUCAUGUGAAGAUAUGUAUGCCCUCCAAACUUUGGUUUGAAUUCAGAGUAGGGAUGCAUGGGAUGCAUGGUGAUGACCUAUGAAUUGACAGCCAGUGUCUGCAACACAACUGCCUGUCAGUUCUGUAGGCCACUGCUGUGUCUAUCCUACUGAGCACACACAGGGGUUUAGAUGGAGCAAAUUAACUCAUUGAUAUGUUUGAUAAAUUGUCAGAAACCUAUGAUGUAUUUGUGAAACCCCUGAUAAUAUUCUGUUUGGUAUACAUUUGCAAGUUAUUUGAAGACAAUACAAUUGCUUUGUUGCCAACCUUGGAAAUAAAGAUUGAAAACACUC